rnacentral:rRNA from 1 species
ACCGUGCAAAGGUAGCAUAAUCAUUUGCCUCUUAAUUGGAGGCUUGUAUGAAUGGAUAAACGAAGUUUUUACUGUCUCUUUUUUAUAAAUAUAAUCUAAACUUCAGGUGAAGAUGCCUGAUUCCUACAGAAAGACAAGAAGACCCUAUAGAGUUUUAACUUUAAAAGUUUCCAUUACUUUUAUAAGUUUUGGUUGGGGCGACCAAGGAUAUAACAAAUCAUCCUUUCUCUUAAUGAACUUAUUUCUUUUAAAGACCCUCUAGGAUCAAUAAAAUCAACUACCUUAGGGAUAACAGGCUUAUCUUCCUAAAGAGCUCUAAUCGAUAGGAAGGAUUGGCACCUCGAUGUUGGCUUAGAGUAACUCAUUACCGCAGCAGGUAAUAUAAGUUAGUUUGUUCAACUAUUAAAUCUAAUCGAUAGGAAGGAUUGGCACCU